UAAUUAUUAGUUUAAAUUAAAAUAUUAAUUUUGUAAAUUAAAGAUAAUAAAAUUAUAAUUAA
rnacentral:tRNA from 1 species